UACGGAGGAUCCAAGCGUUAUCCGGAAUUACUGGGCGUAAAGAGUUGCGUAGGUGGCAUUGUAUGUCGGUAGUGAAAGCGUAGGGCUCAACCUUAUACACAUUAUCGAAACUGCAAAGCUAGAGGGCGAGAGAGGUUACUGGAAUUUCUAGUGUAGGGGUAAAAUCCGUUGAUAUUAGAAAGAACACCGAUGGCGUAGGCAGGUAACUGGCUCGUCCCUGACACUAAGGCACGAAAGCGUGGGGAGCAAACAGG
rnacentral:rRNA from 1 species